rnacentral:pre_miRNA from 1 species
CCAAAAUCUUAGGCUAAGAUUUGUGAAAAAAGAGCUCUUAUAUAAGAGCUUUUAGGCUUAUAUUUAAGCUUUUUCUUCACAAAUCUUAGCUUAAGAUUUGG